UACGUAGGGGGCAAGCGUUGUCCGGAAUCAUUGGGCGUAAAGCGCGCGUAGGCGGCCCGAUAAGUCUGCUGUGAAAGUCCAGGGCUCAACCCUGGAAUGCCGGUGGAUACUGUCGGGCUAGAGUUCGGAAGAGGCAAGUGGAAUUCCCGGUGUAGCGGUGAAAUGCGCAGAUAUCGGGAGGAACACCUAUGGCGAAGGCAGCUCGCUGGGACGUUACUGACGCUGAGACGCGAAAGCGUGGGGAGCAAACAGG
rnacentral:rRNA from 1 species